AAGUCGUAACAAGGUAACCGUAGGUGAACCUGCGGUUGGAUCAUUACGAAUUCAAAACUCUGUGGGAACCCUCUAUCCGCACUUGUGGUGGUAGAGGACCCCAGACAUACACCCUUGUGAACGUUUGACGUCUUUUGGCGACCCCACAUCUCACGGUGUGUUUGAUCAGGGACAGAGGUUCUAAACAAGCCUCUAUCUCAGGUCAUGCUGGGUCGCCAGCCUUGACAUACACCUGAAUACUUUAUUUUCAACUGAAACCAAAAGAGAAACAAUGAGAAACAACUUUAUACAACGGAUCUC
rnacentral:misc_RNA from 1 species